UAGGGAAUUUUCGUCAAUGGGCGCAAGCCUGAACGAGCAAUGCCGCGUGGGUGAAGACGGUCUUCGGAUUGUAAAGCCCUGUUGCCGGGGACAAAGGACAGCCAGAGUGGAAAGCUGACUGUUUGAUGGUACCCGGCCAGAAAGCCACGGCUAACUACGUGCCAGCAGCCGCGGUAAUACGUAGGUGGCAAGCGUUAUCCGGAAUGAUUGGGCGUAAAGGGUGCGCAGGCGGCUGUGCAAGUCUGAAGUAAAAGGGACCGGCUCAACCGGUUCAGGCUUUGGAAACUGCACGGCUUGAGGACAGGAGAGGGCGGUGGAACUCCAUGUGUAGCGGUAAAAUGCGUAGAGAUGUGGAAGAACACCAGCGGCGAAGGCGGCCGCCUGGCCUGUACCUGACGCU
rnacentral:rRNA from 1 species